rnacentral:lncRNA from 13 species
UCUGUAACAAAUUACCAUAAAUGUAACACAACACAAAUUCAUUAUUUUACAGUAUUGGUCAGAUGUCUGGCACUGGUUUCCAUGGGCUGAGGUCAUGGCAGUGGCAGAGUUGGUUCCUUCCAGAGGCUCUAGGGUAGAAUCUGUUUUCUUGCUUUUCCAGCAUCAAGUGACCACCUACCUUACAUGGUUCAUGGCCGCCUCCUUCAUCUUCAGAUCUGGCAGUGUGGCACCUGUGACCUAGCCAGAAAACAUUCUCCACUUUUAAGGAUUUUGUGUGAUUAGACCGGGUUCAUCUGGAUUAUCUCUCCAUCUCAAGUUCCUCAACGCUAAUCACAGCUGCAAAGUCUCUUUUGCUAUAAAAGAGUCCAGAGUUGCUUCUGUUGACCAUAAUUUCCUGUGGUGCAGAGGGGCUACAAGUGUGACACAGAUUAAACUCUCUGUAGGAAGUCUCUGAUGGGAAAGAACAUGUUCAGCUUCCCACUGGGGUUGACAGAGCUGGUGCUCAGGUAAUCAACAUUUUGCUGAGCCUACGAGGAAGCAUUUGGGACAACUUCACAAUGCAUAUUGGUGCUUCUUCUUCCUGCUGCCUUGUGAAGAAGGUGCCUGGCUUGCCCUUCACUUUCUGCCAUGAUCAUAAGUUUCUUGAGGCCUCCUCAGCUAUGCUGAACUGUGAGUCAAUUAAAACUCUUUCCUUUAUAAAUAACCCUGUCUUGGGCAGUUCUUUAUAACAAUGUGAAAAUGGACUAAUACAGCAGAUGUUUAUGAAGUUCUACAAUCAAUGGAUUUUUCUUAUGGGGAUCCUAGUUCCUCAAAGUUAGGUGUACAAGCUGUGAACAGUUUAUUUCUAUAGGCAUGUCUUUUUUAAAAUAUCUUUUUGUUGUUUACUGAUUUCAGUGGUUGCAGUUUUGGUACUGUUCAAAUUUUUAGAUGAAUAGCAGAAGUAGAUUUGUAAAGUUCUAGUGUGCUGAAAAGCAUUAGAACUUAGAGUUUUUUAACCUGGGAGAAUUUUUUAAUGAUCUGGUAUGUCAUUGCAU